rnacentral:rRNA from 1 species
UACGAAGGAGGCUAGCGUUGUUCGGAGUUACUGGGCGUAAAGCGCACGUAGGCGGAUUUGUAAGUAGGGGGUGAAAUCCCUGGGCUCAACCCAGGAACUGCCUUCUAGACUGCAAGUCUUGAGAUCAGGAGAGGCGAGUGGAAUUCCGAGUGUAGAGGCGAAAUUCGUAGAUAUUCGGAGGAACACCAGUGGCGAAGGCGACUCGCUGGACUGAUACUGACGCUGAGGUGCGAAAGCGUGGGGAGCAAACAGG